UUUAAACAAAGUGAACAUUCACAACGACGAAAAGAUACUUAGGAGAUCCUCAGUGCUCUCCCAAAGAUGGUAGAAUCUCUAACAGGGUAAGACAUUUGUUCAUAUUCCCGGCAUGACUGUAUCUUCUUCCUCCGGAGCCUUUUGUGGUUUAUCCUACUGAGUGGAAUGCUUGUUGAGGUAUUCACCACUCUCCCCUUCAGCGGAGUAGCGACCUUUCCUCCUCAGCAGAUGUGAUCUCCUUGGUGGGUACGGUACUUG
rnacentral:lncRNA from 1 species